rnacentral:lncRNA from 1 species
AGCUAACUGCAUUUGGAUUCUGUCCAUGAACUUGGCACAUGACGUGUAUGGCAGACUUCCUAAACCUAGUCAUGGUAGCUCAAAACUCUUCCCAGGGAUGAGCCCUUAGGAGUUGUCAUCAGGAGCUGAACAGCAGACGGCCAGGCUGACUGCCGUCCUCUGCUCUCUCACUAGCGCCCUCCCUCCUACACUGAGCCCCAGGGAAGGAUUCCACAUGGACAUUAUUUGCAUUUAAUAGCUCAUUACUGUGUCCAUGCUCUGCUUCACCAUCAGAGAGCUUGCCAAGGCUCCAGCACUGUAGCUGUGCAUGUUUCUAGACUACUUACUAUAGGGAUUGGUCCUCUCUUGAAGCUAUUUAUUUGUAGUUAAUAGCUACAAAAAUUUGAAGUCUCUUGAGAAAUCCAUACACAGACACAGUUUCCAUGUGGGGGGCCAGGCUGGGGAGGGGCGGAAACUACCCAUGAUCCAGGCUCCUGUUUUGGGGUAAGGAAGAUGCAGUUUUGUGAUCAAGACUCUUAUGAUAGAUUUAUAAAGGGUGCAGGUGUUCAUCACUAGAGCUUUAUGUGUAGAGUUGGAGCCAGAUUAUGGAUCCCCUCCACUGGGCGUUUGUUUUGAAUCAGAAGCUGCCCAAGUAAGCAAUUUCUAAUGUAA